GUGAUGUGCUGUUUCCUGCAAAGGAGCCAUUUUGUGAAGCACAUGUGAAGAUGGUGAGAAGGGGGGGUGAAGAAACGCAUUUCUGAAACGCAACGUGAUGUAGAUGCUGAAAAGAGACCAGCCCUGUGGAACAACAUAGAGAAGUUGUAAUUCUAUGCUUAAUUGUCUGCCUCUCUGAAAAUCCUGAGAAUCUCAUCAAGCACCAUCAGGAUACUCAUGGGAAUAAGGAGGAACUGGAACUGCUCACACUUAAAAUCAUCAAGAAAGGUGGCUCAACAGAUGAUCCAUUACAGACUGGGAUAGUGCUGGAAGGCAUAGAGGUGAUGACGAGAUUGGCAGGUGUUGCGAAGGCUUGUGUUUUUCUGCUUGGCCUAAUUUAAGCAAUUAAUCUGAGUUACCCCAAAGAGCUCAAUGAACAAUGUUUGUCUACAACUGUUUGAUUACAUUCUUGUUUUAUUCUUAGGAUGUUUUUUGGGUGUUCCAAAAGUAAAUGUUAGAAAGAUUGUUGCAAAGGGUGAAAAAAAAGUGACCUAUUAUAGACCUAUUGUGUCUUACAAACAAAACAAAAAGAAAAAGAAAAUGCUUUUCUGUACAAAAUUAAAUGCUGGAAUAAUGUAAAUCCUUUGAGAAGUGUUGCAAAGGGUUAAAAAUCAAGGAAUUAACUUGUUAGAAGUGAACUUCCAUUUGUAUAUUUGUCACAUUGUGUUGUACAUUCAUGAUGUGUUGUUUUAGGCUUCACCGUUGCUU
ensembl:lncRNA